UCUCACACAUAUAUCCGACCCUCUGUUUAAUUUUGUUCUCAUAAUAAAGAAUUCUAAUAUUACAGGAAAGAGCACAUUCAUCUCAGGUAAAGCAGAAGACUGACUCUGGCAAAAUCCAUUGGUUUUCAUGAGAAUGUGAUUUCCACUAAGUGGUCCCCAACACGUUCUGCACCGCCUACAGGAUAAAGCCAAGCUCUUUGCUGUGACCCUUGAGACCCCUUCACCUACCAGCCCCUCCCCGGCUCCUCUCCUGGACAGCCAGAGCCCAAGACAUGUCAAACUUCCAGACCACGCCAGCCCGUCCUCCAUGUUUUUUCUCCUCAGCUCAAAUGCUGUCCAAUCUUCAAAUCUUUCUCAGCAACCCCCAAGCUCCAGGCAGAGUUGGUUGUCAUUGUUUCUGGGUACAGGGUCCCUUGGUACGCACCUGUCAGAACAAGUAUCUCACUGCGUUGCACUCAGUUUAUGUGUCUGUCCAUUUUUCUAGACUGCAAGCUCUUUGGGACCAUGCUCAUUCUUGUGAUUCUCUCACUAUCCCUGGUAUCUGGCACACAGUGGACCCCAACUGUUGAAUUGAUCACUGAGUGAAUGAAUGAAUGAAUGAAUCAAUGAAACAGCAUUUGCAUGCUGAACUUUCAAACUGAACCUAUAGUGUGAUGGGAAAUAUCACACACAUGAAUGGGAAAAAAAUGGCCUCAGGCGUCCAGGUUUCAUCGAACAUCUCAUGCAGUUUGACUUGUACUGAUUACAGCUUCGGAGAACGCAGAGCCAAGGUGAAUGGAUCCUAGAGUUACCCAUGGCGUUGCCACAAGCCCGGAGUCCCUCUACGAUAGCUGCAGGUUACCGGGGAGACGGCCAGAGGUUCAAGUGGAUGGUGCACUCUCCAUGCAAAGGGCGGGACAGCUGACAUAAAACAAGGUGGGCUCUUCUGGGACAGACACCUGGGGUCAAAGGCCACUAGGCCGAGGACUUCUAAUUCUGAGGAAGAAUGUCUGGGGAAGGGAGCAAAAGGGUACUCCAGAAGCAAUGGGAUGCCAGUGCGGUUAUCUCCUCAGAGUCCUAUUCAAAUGUCCGGAGAGCGGUAGCUGCCAUACCUCCCAAAGAGCUUCACUCUUUCCUCUC